ACUUAGUUGGUAAAGCACAAGGCUCUUAACCUUGUGGACGUGGAUUCAAGCCCCAU
rnacentral:tRNA from 1 species